rnacentral:lncRNA from 1 species
CUGCGCCCGUCCCUCAGAGAGCUCCCCCGGGGGCCGACACCGCGACGGCUCCGACGGCACCGCUGUGGGCGCGGGGGCCGGGCCAGGCAGGGGGGGUGGGGGUCUGCACGCCGCUCCCCGGCCCCGAAGCCGCCCCAUCCGCAGCUCCUUUGGGCGGCACGCUUCUCCCGGUCACUUUCCUGCCGCAGCGAGAGGCAUCGUCGGCAUCGGGGGGUGCUCUGGCUCACCCCGCACCCUUGCGGGAUGGAUUCAAGCAGCACUGUCCCUGAGCCCGGGGACGGGGUGGGGCGGCGAUGGCCUCACCUGCUCUCGGCUGCUCCCUUCGCUGCUGUGCCGGUGUCAAAGGGGAGCGCACACGGCCGCCCCCGCAGUGGAGGCCUGGGCGGGAGAUCUGCUGGAAAGCAGCUCUGGUUUAAUAGCCCCUUGGCACGGCCCGGAGACUCUGCUCUGUGUGUAAUACUUUCCUUCAUUACUCACAAAGAGAAGAGCCGCCGCCCGGCCCGACUCUCCGCCGAGGUCCGGAUUCGACCUAAAAGUGAGGAGAGGCAAAGCCCGGCGCUGGGAGAUGGGUGGCCCCGCGGCGAACAUUGCUGCGGCCCCGCGGAUGGCCGCCGCCGCCCCUGCGCACCCGCAGCCCGCACCGCGGAGGGCGGAGAGUCGCAGCUGGGCCUCGGCAUGCCCAGGAAGCAGGACGAGUUAUAGACUGGGCUGUACGCAUUACCGAUGAUCAUUUAAUGCAAGAUCUAUACGAUUUUAGAAAUGGUACCACUGAAUUCAGCGGGAAAAUCAUAGAGGGAAUGUGUUUUGUUUUGUUUUGUUUUUUCAAACAAAAAAAAUAAUUAAACUAGCCCUUUCUCCAAACCGCAA